rnacentral:rRNA from 1 species
CUACAGGCUUAACACAUGCAAGUCGAGGGGCAGCAUGGUCUUAGCUUGCUAAGGCCGAUGGCGACCGGCGCACGGGUGAGUAACGCGUAUCCAACCUGCCUUACACUCUUGGACAGCCUUCUGAAAGGGAGAUUAAUACAAGAUGUUAUCAUGAGUAAGCAUUUUCGCAUGAUUAAAGGUUUACCGGUGUAAGAUGGGGAUGCGUUCCAUUAGAUAGUAGGCGGGGUAACGGCCCACCUAGUCUUCGAUGGAUAGGGGUUCUGAGAGGAAGGUCCCCCACAUUGGAACUGAGACACGGUCCAAACUCCUACGGGAGGCAGCAGUGAGGAAUAUUGGUCAAUGGACGAGAGUCUGAACCAGCCAAGUAGCGUGAAGGAUGAAGGUUCUAUGGAUUGUAAACUUCUUUUAUACGGGAAUAAACGGAUCCACGUGUGGAUUUUUGCAUGUACCGUAUGAAUAAGGAUCGGCUAACUCCGUGCCAGCAGCCGCGGUAAUACGGAGGAUCCGAGCGUUAUCCGGAUUUAUUGGGUUUAAAGGGAGCGUAGAUGGGUUGUUAAGUCAGUUGUGAAAGUUUGCGGCUCAACCGUAAAAUUGCAAUUGAUACUGGCAGUCUUGAGUACAGUUGAGGUAGGCGGAAUUCGUGGUGUAGCGGUGAAAUGCUUAGAUAUCACGAAGAACUCCGAUUGCGAAGGCAGCUUACUAACCUGUAACUGACAUUGAUGCUCGAAAGUGUGGGUAUCAAACAGGAUUAGAUACCCUGGUAGUCCACACGGUAAACGAUGAAUACUCGCUGUAGGCGAUAUACAGUCUGCGGCCAAGCGAAAGCAUUAAGUAUUCCACCUGGGGAGUACGCCGGCAACGGUGAAACUCAAAGGAAUUGACGGGGGCCCGCACAAGCGGAGGAACAUGUGGUUUAAUUCGAUGAUACGCGAGGAACCUUACCCGGGCUUAAAUUGCAACCGAAUAUGGCGGAAACGCUAUAGCUAGCAAUAGCGGUUGUGAAGGUGCUGCAUGGUUGUCGUCAGCUCGUGCCGUGAGGUGUCGGCUUAAGUGCCAUAACGAGCGCAACCCUUGCCGAUAGUUACUAACAGGUCAUGCUGAGGACUCUGUCGGGACUGCCAUCGUAAGAUGUGAGGAAGGUGGGGAUGACGUCAAAUCAGCACGGCCCUUACGUCCGGGGCUACACACGUGUUACAAUGGGGGGUACAGAGGGCUGCUACCACGCAAGUGGAUGCCAAUCCCAAAAACCUCUCUCAGUUCGGAUUGAAGUCUGCAACCCGACUUCAUGAAGCUGGAUUCGCUAGUAAUCGCGCAUCAGCCACGGCGCGGUGAAUACGUUCCCGGGCCUUGUACACACCGCCCGUCAAGCCAUGGGAGCCGGGGGUACCUGAAGUGCGUAACCGCAAGGAGCGCCCUAGGGUAAAACUGGUGACUGGGGCUAAGU